GAAAAAGUCCAAGAGUAGCUGAUGAAAAUAUGACAAAUAUUUGUAGAGGUGGAACAACAUCUAGAUCAACAAGGCAACAUAAUUGGAACGGGUUUUCGAUUAUUUGUGGCGUUUUUCGCGCUCCAUUAGCGUUAUUUUCGUGUUUAAAUCAUCCAAGAAUCAAUGGAACAGAUGGAGUUUGGGUUUCUGGAGAAUUUUCACAAAUUUCUGAAAUGAAUCAUCUAAUGGUUAGUGAUAGUAUGCGUUAUGCAAUAUUAAUGUGAAGAAAGAAAAAGAAAAAAAGAUUAUGGUAAGAAAUGAAAUGAAAUUUUAGUCAUGAUGAGACUUUUUUUUUUGGUUUGUGUUUUUGGGGUUUUUUAUUAUAUAUAUUGAUGUAUGUGAAGUUUUGGAUUUGUUAUUUUUCAUUAGGAUAUCUAGG
rnacentral:misc_RNA from 1 species